UGGGGAAUUUUCCGCAAUGGGCGAAAGCCUGACGGAGCAAUACCGCGUGAGGGACGAAGGCCUGUGGGUUGUAAACCUCUUUUCUCAGGGAAGAAGAUCUGACGGUACCUGAGGAAUCAGCAUCGGCUAACUCCGUGCCAGCAGCCGCGGUAAGACGGAGGAUGCAAGCGUUAUCCGGAAUUAUUGGGCGUAAAGCGUCCGCAGGCGGUUUCGUAAGUCUGUCUUUAAAGAGUGGAGCUUAACUCCAUAAAGGGGAUGGAAACUGCGAGACUAGAGGUAGGUAGGGGUAGAAGGAAUUCCCAGUGUAGCGGUGAAAUGCGUAGAUAUUGGGAAGAACACCAGCAGCGAAGGCGUUCUACUGGACCAAACCUGACGCUCAUGGACGAAAGCUAGGGGAGCG
rnacentral:rRNA from 1 species